UACGUAGGGUGCUAGCGUUGUCCGGAUUUAUUGGGCGUAAAGAGCUCGUAGGUGGUUCGGUACGUCGGAUGUGAAAUCUCCAGGCUCAACCUGGAGGGGUCAUUCGAUACUGCCGUGACUAGAGUUCGGUAGGGGAGUGUGGAAUUCCUGGUGGAGCGGUGAAAUGCGCAGAUAUCAGGAGGAACACCGGUAGCGAAGGCGGCACUCUGGGCCGAUACUGACACUGAGGAGCGAAAGCGUGGGGAGCGAACAGG
rnacentral:rRNA from 1 species